GUUGGAAUAGUGGAAUGGAACUAUUAAAUCCCGUAUGAACUCCAAAGUCAAGCGACAAUUGGCCCGGAUAGUAGUGAGGUGGGGGACUGGCAAAGGGAGCUAAUUAUAUA
rnacentral:rRNA from 1 species